GUGAGGAAUAUUGGUCAAUGGGCGGGAGCCUGAACCAGCCAAGUCGCGUGAAGGAAGAAGGAUCUAUGGUUCGUAAACUUCUUUUGCAGGGGAAUAAAGUGCAGGACGUGUCCUGUUUUGUAUGUACCCUGAGAAUAAGGAUCGGCUAACUCCGUGCCAGCAGCCGCGGUAAUACGGAGGAUCCGAGCGUUAUCCGGAUUUAUUGGGUUUAAAGGGUGCGUAGGUGGUUUGAUAAGUCAGCGGUGAAAGUUUGCAGCUUAACUGUAAAAAUGCCGUUGAAACUGUCGGACUUGAGUGUAAAUGAGGUAGGCGGAAUGCGUGGUGUAGCGGUGAAAUACAUAGAUAUCACGCAGAACUCCGAUUGCGAAGGCAGCUUACUAAGCUACAACUGACACUGAAGCACGAAAGCGUGGGGAUCAAACAGGAUUAGAUACCCGUGUAGUCC
rnacentral:rRNA from 1 species